rnacentral:sRNA from 2 species
UGCGAAGGAACGCAGACUAAGAACGCCGCGUCCUGUGGCAGCGUCUGCAUGACCCCCAUCCUGGGGG